AUAUCAGUCAUGCAUAGCAUAUCAAUAAGCGGAGGAAAAGAAACUAACAAGGAUUCCCUUAGUAACGGCGAGUGAAGCGGGAAGAGCUCAAAUUUGAAAUCUUCAAGGUUCUACCUUGACGAAUUGUAGUUUAUAGAAGUGUUUUCUGUUAGUGGAGUGGCAAAAGUUCUUUGGAAUAGGACAUCAUAGAGGGUGAGAAUCCCGUAUUUGGUCAUUCCUCCUAGCGUUGUGAUACACUUUCAACGAGUCGGAUUGUUUGGGAAUGCAGUCCAAAAUGGGUGGUAAAUUUCAUCUAAAGCUAAAUAUUGGCGAGAGACCGAUAGCGAACAAGUACCGUGAGGGAAAGAUGAAAAGAACUUUGAAAAGAGAGUUAAACAGUACGUGAAAUUGUCAAAAGGGAAGCGUUUGACACCAGUGUUGUUUUUCCGAAAAUCAAUUACUGAAUGUCUUGAUUUUAAGUUUCAUGACCUUAAUAGGCUUGUUUCUUAUUUUACGAAAUUCUUUCUUAAUGCACUUUUCGGUUAACAAGUCAACAUCAAUUUCUUUUGUUGUAAAAGGGUAUGAGGAAGGUGGCUUUCUUUUCGGAGAAAGUGUUUAUAGCCUUUGGCCUCUGCAAUCGGAGAGAUUGAGGUCUGCAGCGUAGAUCCUUCGGGGUUAGAUACAGUUUGUGCUAAGCUAUAGCCUUUCAUAGACAACUUGUUGACUAUGUACAGUCAUGUAGCUUACUCGCUUAUGCUAUUUUACCUACGCUUAGGAUGUUGAUCUCUCACAGUCGAGC
rnacentral:rRNA from 1 species